rnacentral:rRNA from 1 species
UACGGAGGGGGCUAGCGUUGUUCGGAAUUACUGGGCGUAAAGCGCGCGUAGGCGGACCUGCAAGUCUGGGGUGAAAGCCCGAGGCUCAACCUCGGAACUGCCUUCGAUACUGCGGGUCUCGAGUCCGGGAGAGGUGAGUGGAAUUCCUAGUGUAGAGGUGAAAUUCGUAGAUAUUAGGAAGAACACCAGUGGCGAAGGCGGCUCACUGGCCCGGUACUGACGCUGAGGCGCGAAAGCGUGGGGAGCAAACAGG